rnacentral:rRNA from 1 species
UACGUAGGUAGCAAGCGUUAUUCGGAUUUACUGGGCGUAAAGGGUCCGCAGGGGGCCUGCCAAGUCUGAUGUGAAAUACCACGGCUCAACUGUGGAACGGCAUUGGAAACUGGCGGGCUAGAGUGCAUGAGGGGUGAGCAGAAUUCCUGGUGUAGCGGUGGAAUGCGUAGAUAUCAGGAGGAAUACCGAUGGCGAAGGCGGCUCACUGGCAUGCAACUGACCCUCAGGGACGAAAGCGUGGGUAGCAAACAGGAUUAGAUACCCUGGUAGUCCACGCUGUAAACGGUGUACACUAGAUGUGGGUGGUCCUUUUGGUCCCAUCCGUGUCCAAGCUAACGCGUUAAGUGUACCGCCUGGGGACUACGGCCGCAAGGUUA